rnacentral:rRNA from 1 species
UACGAAGGGGGCUAGCGUUGCUCGGAAUCACUGGGCGUAAAGCGCACGUAGGCGGCUUUUUAAGUCAGGGGUGAAAUCCUGGAGCUCAACUCCAGAACUGCCUUCGAUACUGGCGAUCUCGAGUCCGGGAGAGGAGACUGGAAUUUACGGUGUAGCGGUGAAAUGCGUAGAUAUCGUAAGGAAGACCAGUGGCGAAGGCGGGUCUCUGGACAGUUCCUGACGCUGAGGCACGAAGGCCAGGGGAGCAAACGGG